rnacentral:piRNA from 1 species
AAAUAAAGAUUAGGUUCCACUCUU